AGAGUAGGACACCUGCAGUCCCGAGACCCAGGCUCAGCUGGGUGAGCUUGAGAAGAUCUCUCCAGCCUCUCAGAAGGAAAACCUGGAGCUCACCAGGCAACAGGAUGAUCGAGACAGAAAGAAAAGGGGAGCAGGAGCAGGUGGAGGAGGCGUGCUCAUCUGUGGCACUUAGUGACUUUCAGGAGGGGUCUCCUGCUGGAUUCCCGUCGCUCCAUGGCUCCGAAACGCAGGCAGCCCUCCCAGGACUCCAAGCAGGGCCCAAAAUUUGUUUGUGAGGAUUUGCAUAAAAAGCUUUACUGAAUGGGAUUCACUGAAUGCAGGUGAGAUUCACAGCGUCCCCCAGGGCAACGAUUUUCUCUUUGAAUUUCAUUCUCACUUGAGAAGCAAACACCACUCCUCUGCUUUCUCCCUCCACUAGACCUGCACUCCCUUCCCGUUCCUUAUUCUUACUUGUCACACACGCACAGAUACUCAUGCGUGCACACAUAUGCACAUAAACACCUGUGUACAUAUGCAUACGCACGUGCAUGCGAGUACACACAUAAAUGCACAUGCACACGCACCCAACAAGCUUUAAGUCACUGAAUAAGACUGUGUUGUUUCUAUCGCAGAUGGCUCCUGGAGUUUGACUCUGGCCCAAAGUGAAGGCUGCCUGGGAUGCAAAGGAGAAGCUCUCAGCCCAGUCUGCUGGGGAAGCACCUGUCAUUGGUUUGGGCCUGGCAGCGUGGUCUCCAAGGAGACGGUAGUGAGACCCCGCCUGUGUCACUGAGCCAGCACUGGGGGACUGAGGCCCAGGGGUCUGUACUGGGACCUCAGGAGAGUCUGAAGGCCAGGCAGCUUUGGGACCGCUGAAGAAAACCCUUCCUCUCUGUUCCUAGGUUGCAUGUAGAUUCUUGGCAGAGGCCUUGGUAUUACCCAGACAUUGUCCCCCGCCCUGCACGGAGGGAGUGACUCCAACAGUAAGGAGUCUGGCAGCACUGCAGGGGAUGGCAUGGAAGCUUUGAGUGGAGCCUCCCAGAAGCCUGCAGCAUGACAUGGAGCUAUCUGCUGCUCAGUCAGAGACCCAGGCCUUCCAAGACUCCCAGUGGCUCUGUCCCUGGGCACUGAGGGUGGGCCAAAUGGGCUUCCCACUUCACCAACCUGCACCCAUUUCCUGGCUGGACCAGGCAUCCUGGGGGAGUUACAUGAGGCUCCCUGCUGGUUAAGGCUCCAAGCCCACCUUGGUCUUCUGGGCUGGGUCCCUCAUGCUCCUCCUCUCCUUCCAUAUCAUCCCACCCUCCCUACCCCUGCCAGCCCCAUUUGUUCUCUGUUCCUCGCUCUCCCACCUCCUCUGUCUCCUAGGUGUCUGCCCACCCCUGCCUUUCUCAGUCGCCACACAGCUCAUGGCCAUGUCCACGCCCCCCCAGACCUCAUCCCCAGUAAUAUCAACCACAACCAUAACCAAUGUUUAUUACGCACCUAUUAUGUCCUAGGUACUGUUAUUCAUUUCAUUUAAUUCUCACAUAAACCCCAUGAAGCAGGUUGGGUUAUUACUACCAUUUUAUAGAUAAGGAAACUGAGGAUCGACAAGGCGAAGCAACCUACUCAGGGUCAAACAAUUUGUAAGUGGACAGCCAGGUUUCAUCUUCGAGUCUAUCUUGUGUAUCUCAUACCCCUUCUCCCUCCCUGGCAUUAUGUUACACGUUUAUUGAGUUGGCUGUUAUCCAUCUAGAAUGUGGGCUCCCUGAGGCCAGGGACUGACCUACUCACCACCUCCUGUAUCAGUACCUGGC
rnacentral:lncRNA from 1 species